AUGCCGGUCACAGAGAGAAGCGAAACGCAGCUCAACUGUGUCAUGUUAUCAAUGCCUACACGCAAAGAUGGUGCACAGACUACCUAGGGUACGGCUGUUUCUGUGGGCCCAGGAGUCAGGGCAGCAGGCCCGUGGACGGAUCAGACCGCUGUUGUCGGGCACAUGACCAAUGUUUCAGUCGUCUGGAGUCCCUGGGAUGCAAGAACUUGAUUUUCCUGUCAUACAAGUACACGUGCGCAGGAGGCAGUUGCACGUGCUUAGACGCUGACCGCAACUCGUGUGCAUAUCGCUCGUGCGCGUGUGACGUCACGCUAGCUGCGUGCCUGCGAUCAGCAUCGUUCAGUCAACGGUACAGGAACUACAACCUCAGGAACUGUCAGUAGAGAGUAGCCUGCACCUGAGUCGGUGCCAGAGUUUUCACCCUUUGAUGCCAAUAUCUAAAAUAUUAAGUCUUUAAAUAAAAAAAAU